UGGUCUUGGUGUGAGCUCUGAAGCAGAUGGAGCAGAUGUGCAACAUCCUGCAUGCGCUGUAGCUGCAUGCGCCUUUAUUAAAGUUAUUGCACACCUGCGCCUUACCCGAGAAUAUGAUGGGUCUGCCCAGCUUGUCUCUCUGGCCGCCUUCCUGUCUUUUGAGUGUGGUGAAGGAGUGGUGGGGUGUGGAGGUGGAAGUGGAUGGGUCUGUGUCUCCUGGUCAUAGGUCGGUGGAGUGUGAAGUGGAACAACAAGAGGC